AGCGCAGGCGGACCGGCAAGUUGGAAGUGGAAACUAUGGGCUCAACCCAUAAAUUGCUUUCAAAACUGCUGGCCUUGAGUAGUGCAGAGGUAGGUGGAAUUCCCGGUGUAGCGGUGGAAUGCGUAGAUAUCGGGAGGAACACCAGUGGCGAAGGCGACCUACUGGGCACCAACUGACGCUGAGGCUCGAAAGCAUGGGUACAAAC
rnacentral:rRNA from 1 species